UUAGGUAUUUGAAUCAGCUGGAACGAUGUCUCGGAACUCUUCAAGGAGAGGUUUCAGCUCUGCGGGGAUUUCGAGGUCUCCGUUUUGAGGGGCGGUCUCUUUUACCAAUAAGGCAAAGACUACCUGAAACUAGCUUUCCGCAGCCUCUUUCACUUCUUCGACUCCUGCUUUAUACCCAGCCUUUCCUGUUGUAUCCUUCGCAAAAGAAAUGAUCUAAUAAAAUCAAAUGGGAAAUCAAUUGCUUCUUCUUUCGCUUUUAUCC
rnacentral:lncRNA from 1 species